GGGUAUGAUGAUGACGGGGCAGGCACUUCGUCAUCGUCCGGUUCCUCUUCUGCCACUUCUUCCCGCUCGUCUGGGAAUGAGGUGGCUUUUAAUUAUGAUAAUUCUCGUAUGUGGACUUUUGUAAUUCCUCCGCCCAUAGUACAGGGGUAUGACUGGGCACCCCAUGAGGUUAAGAACUAUAUCUCGUACUUUAUAUCGACUGCAUCUAUUAGGC
rnacentral:lncRNA from 1 species